ACAUCAUCCCGUCGUCCGUGUGGAGCGCGACAGCCGCCGCCAUCGACACCAUCGGCAUCAUGUCGUCCUACCUGGAGCGCGACCGCCACCGCCGCCAUCGACACCCGGCCUUCCUGCAUCUAGGGCGAACGCCGCCGCCACCUACGACUCCCCGUCGUCCUGCAUCCAGGGCGACCGCAGCCGCCAGCGGAUCGGCCCGGUCAUGCAUCUCCGGCACCAGGUCGACGCCGUCGCAACAUCGAGAGACGCCGACUCUAGAUAUAUUCUGGAGGUCGGUCCCGUUGGGCGUGGCUGGCGAGCGAUGCCACCAGUAGGUAGACGCCGCUGCAACAUCAACAGACGCCAGACAAACUCGUCGGCAGGUACAUUGACUGUAUGGAUGCUGCUCCUCAGGGGAUUCUUGAUCUCUGCUUAUGCAUUGGAUAGCCACUCCUUAUGGGAUUCUUGAUCAUGGAUGUGUUAAGUUGAUUCAAAUGGCACACAUGGUCAUAGCCGUAGUUAAUUUGCAGGAUCAAAACAAAAGUUUUCUUGCUACAAUGAAGGUUUCUUUGUAGCUAUGUUGAUUCACUGAUGUCCAUCAAGCACUACCCGCAGGCAGAUGUAAAAGGCAAGCAACAAGCUGUUGUCAACUAUCAGGAGAUUAAGAGAGAGAGGUGGUUUCAGCAACGAUGUCAGAAACUGGCUCGUACAUGGCUAAAACCUGAUGCAGGCUUCCUGAAGCUUAACGUGGAUGGGUCUUAUAGUGAACAGGCAGGGAACGGGGGUGCUGGCUUGGUCCUGCGGGAUGAUACUGGAUCAGUUUUGUUGUGUGCCUGCCGAUACAUUCCAGCAUGCACCUCGCCACUGGAAGCUGAGCUUGUUGCUUGCAGGGAAGGCAUUGCCAAGACAAGAGAAUGGUCUGAUCAGCCUUGCAUUGUUGAGAUGGACAGUGUGGAAGCAGUCCGGAUGAUCAAGUCUCCGGGCUUGGACAGAUCAUGUUUCAGUCAUACGGUGCAAGAAAUCAAGCAAUCGAUGUAGCUAGAUCCUAGGUAGAAGUUGUUAGCAGUCGAUAGGAACCAAAAUCAUUCUGGUCAUUUGUUAGCAAAUAGGGGAAGAUUGAGUGCUGAAAAUGUAACCUGGAUCAGGAUGUUUAUGUGUGUUGCCUACAGGCCGGAGGCUUCUCCUGUAGCUUAAUCAGUACUAUAUUUAUUUCGCAAAAAAAAAGAGUAGAAGCCGUAGUUAAUUUGCAAGAAAAAACUCAGUAUUGCUGGUGUUUUCUUUCUC